rnacentral:rRNA from 1 species
GGGGCGGCGGUGCUAUACAUGCAAGUCGAGCGGACAGAAGGGAGCUUGCUCCCGGAUGUUAGCGGCGGACGGGUGAGUAACACGUGGGUAACCUGCCUGUAAGACUGGGAUAACUCCGGGAAACCGGAGCUAAUACCGGAUAGUUCCUUGAACCGCAUGGUUCAAGGAUGAAAGACGGUUUCGGCUGUCACUUACAGAUGGACCCGCGGCGCAUUAGCUAGUUGGUGGGGUAAUGGCUCACCAAGGCGACGAUGCGUAGCCGACCUGAGAGGGUGAUCGGCCACACUGGGACUGAGACACGGCCCAGACUCCUACGGGAGGCAGCAGUAGGGAAUCUUCCGCAAUGGACGAAAGUCUGACGGAGCAACGCCGCGUGAGUGAUGAAGGUUUUCGGAUCGUAAAGCUCUGUUGUUAGGGAAGAACAAGUGCGAGAGUAACUGCUCGCACCUUGACGGUACCUAACCAGAAAGCCACGGCUAACUACGUGCCAGCAGCCGCGGUAAUACGUAGGUGGCAAGCGUUGUCCGGAAUUAUUGGGCGUAAAGGGCUCGCAGGCGGUUUCUUAAGUCUGAUGUGAAAGCCCCCGGCUCAACCGGGGAGGGUCAUUGGAAACUGGGAAACUUGAGUGCAGAAGAGGAGAGUGGAAUUCCACGUGUAGCGGUGAAAUGCGUAGAGAUGUGGAGGAACACCAGUGGCGAAGGCGACUCUCUGGUCUGUAACUGACGCUGAGGAGCGAAAGCGUGGGGAGCGAACAGGAUUAGAUACCCUGGUAGUCCACGCCGUAAACGAUGAGUGCUAAGUGUUAGGGGGUUUCCGCCCCUUAGUGCUGCAGCUAACGCAUUAAGCACUCCGCCUGGGGAGUACGGUCGCAAGACUGAAACUCAAAGGAAUUGACGGGGGCCCGCACAAGCGGUGGAGCAUGUGGUUUAAUUCGAAGCAACGCGAAGAACCUUACCAGGUCUUGACAUCCUCUGACACCCUAGAGAUAGGGCUUUCCCUUCGGGGACAGAGUGACAGUGGUGCAUGGUUGUCGUCAGCUCGUGUCGUGAGAUGUGGGUAGUCCCGCACGAGCGCACCCUGAUCUAGUGCCAGCAUUCAGUGGGCACUCUAAGGUGACUGCCGUGACAACCGGAGGAAGGUGGGGAUGACGUCA